AGCAUAAUUUACGACUAUUCUUUACUCUUUCUUGGCGAGUGGCUUUCUUCAGAAACGCGGAAUAGGCCUAAUGAUCCUACUGCAGAACAAAACUGUUCUCGUUCCCCUGUCUUCACCUGGUAAAUGAGGUUGUUUUGGGAAGUGUUGUUUGGGACGUGUUGUUUGAAGGGGGGUAAACACGGGACCGCUAGAGGGUUUCUGCAUCGUUUCUCGACCGAAUCUUAACUUCCUGUAUCAAGGACAAAAAAAACACAAGUUCCUGUUUACCUGAUGAGAAUGAAAUAGGCCUACACAUAACAUGCUGACAAUAAGCCAAUUUAUAAGCCUUAUAGAUAUAACAUCGUCGUCAGUGUUCGGAUUUGACAACUACGUGGGAGUUAGACCUAAUCAUUUGGGCUAUUAGGCUAAUUACAUUUAUAAUUGACUCAUUUAGUCUGUACAAAGCUCAUUAAGUCAUUUACAAAACUAAAGUAAAAUAGUUUUCUCUCAAAUUAGGCUACAUGUCAGUCAGACCCGCUACUAGUCUGCCCGUGGUCUUGGUUCAUGACUGUUCUCCAGUGUAUGCUAUUUACAUACCGCGAUGGAUACCGCCAAAAAGAGAAUUGGGCAGGUGAGAGAAGAGAUUCAAAUAGGGCCUCCAGCCUCUUCCCGGGUACUUUCCUGUGGAUCAUCCAUACACGCUAAAGUGCUGACAAUAUCGGUGUAGUUCUGUGACUGGGAUACCCUAAUCUGCAUUCUAAAAAGAUGCAAGGCAACAUGACGAAAAAUGAGAAGUUCACGAAUCCGCCUGCACUCUGCUGACCGUCUACAACUCUGACACUAGAGUCACCACCCCAGCGUGAAGUGAAGUCCGCCCGCAGCCUGCUGGAGAUCAGUGUGAUCUCGCUGUCUUUAGCUGAUGGAGGGGGGGAAAAGGAAAGUGGACCAAGGAUUGGCUGGAGACUGGAGAACACAUUCCCACAUGGUUCAGAAACCAACAGAACAGAUCCCUGCUGAUGCGAGGAGCAAGCUUCUGGAGGUGAAGGACUUGAUGAGCAUCAUAGGCAGUGGAACCAUGCAUCUGGGGCAGAACACCCUAACAUGGGUCCUGGGGAAGAUGCAGCUGCAGUUGAGGGUCGGUGAUGUUGGCGGCGAAGGGCCUAACCUGUCACUGGUGAGGAGGAUGGAUGUGGCAGGUCGCAGCUCUGACUCUGCACUGUGCAUGACUGUAGUCCUGAUGGAACAAAAGGCUCCCCCCACUGGUACAACAGCAGUGGUGUUCAUGCAACAUGGACAGAUUUAUUUAGACAGUUAUAACUGUCUAAAGCAAUGGGAAAAGUCGAAAAAGCAUGAUAUCACCCCUUCAAUAGUCGCCGUUUGCCAUUGCACUGCAGUUCGCACACGCCCAAUGUCCUUUCAACCGUCCGCAAAGGCCUGGUUGAUUGUAUUUGUGUUCA